UGCUUGUUUUGGCAGCACAUAACUAAAAUUGGAAUGAUCUAGAGAAGACUAGCAUGGUUCCUAUAAAAGGAUGACUUGCAAAUUCGUAAAGUGUUCCAUAUUUGG